ACUCCUACGGGAGGCAGCAGUGGGGAAUAUUGCACAAUGGGCGCAAGCCUGAUGCAGCCAUGCCGCGUGUAUGAAGAAGGCCUUCGGGUUGUAAAGUACUUUCAGCGGGGAGGAAGGUGUUGCGGUUAAUAACCGCAGCAAUUGACGUUACCCGCAGAAGAAGCACCGGCUAACUCCGUGCCAGCAGCCGCGGUAAU
rnacentral:rRNA from 1 species